UUUAUGGGAUAAGAGUUAAGAGGUGAGGAAGGAAGAUCGAGAGCGAGUAAGCCAGCGAAGGCUGUGGCGAUGAACAUCGUUCCUCCCUAUGUUGUCAUGGGGGAGCAAGAGAAUGGCGGCCAGCCUUAUCACCAUCACCUCAACCUUUCCUUCCUAUCUUGGUAGGCGUACUUCCCCAAUCGUCCACAAACUAGCUGGCACACGUCCCUCCUCCUCACCUCUGUUAGCUCGUCCUGAUUCUUCAGACACAGAGGUAACGAGGGCUCAUUACUUGGUCGCUGCCCUUCGAUCUCGAGGCAUUUGCAGCUCAUCUGUUGAAUCGGAGGUAGUCAUGAGCGGUAAGGUCGUUCCUCAGAAAUCCCUGGAGAAUUUUCAGACUCCGGAAGAGAUUUCUUACCUUACGCAGCAAGAGGCGGCGGAGAUCGACGACAUGCUGAUGGGUCCUUUUGGCUUCAGCGUCGAUCAGUUGAUGGAACUUGCCGGAUUGAGUGUUGCAACCGCUGUAGCAGAGGCUGGCAGCACAGUUCGGCAAUGGCGGGCGACGGCGACGACCUCCGGCGACUUCCGGUGGCGUCCGGCGGCAGCCGGCGACAGACAGGUUUUCAAGCCAAGUACACAUAGUCGUGUACUUGCUAUUUGUGGCCCUGGAAAUAAUGGUGGUGAUGGUCUGGUGGCUGCUCGGCAUCUAUAUCACUUUGGGUAUAAGCCAUUUAUUUGUUAUCCAAAACGUACUACAAAGGCUCUUUAUAGUGGUCUGGUAACUCAGCUGGAAUCAUUAUCUAUUCCCUUCUUGACUGCGGAAGAGCUGCCUUUUGACUUGUCAAAUGAUUUUGACAUAAUAGUAGAUGCAAUGUUUGGAUUUUCGUUCCAUGGUGCACCUAGGGCCCCAUUUGAUGUUCUUAUUCAAAAGCUGGUUGAUUUGCAAAAUGUGGAUUAUGGCCCAAAAAUGCCUGCAAUUGUGUCCAUAGACAUACCUUCAGGAUGGCAUGUUGAGGAUGGAGAUGUUGGUGAAAGAGGAAUCAAGCCAGAUAUGCUGGUUUCUUUAACAGCUCCGAAGCUGUGUGCGAAGAAAUUUUCUGGUCCUCACCACUUUCUAGGUGGGAGGUUUGUUCCACCAACAAUUAUUCAGAAAUAUAUGCUAAAGCUUCCACAAUAUCCUGGCACUUCUAUGUGUGUUCGGAUUGGAAAACCUAAAGCAGUAGAUGUUUCAUCAUUAAGAGAGAAUUAUCUUUCUCCUGUUUUCCUCGAGGAUCAGGUGCAUGAUGAUCCAAUGAUCCAGUUUAACAAAUGGUUUGAGGAUGCUGUUGCUGCUGGACUGCGUGAGCCAAAUGCCAUGGCCUUGUCAACUGCUGACAAGAAUGGGAAACCUUCUUCAAGAAUGGUGUUGCUCAAAGGCUUCGAUGAAAAUGGUUUUGUCUGGUACACUAACUAUGAGAGUCGAAAAGCAGUUGAAAUAUCAGAAAAUUCAAAUGCUUGCCUCCUCUUUUUCUGGAAUGAUCUCAAUCGCCAGGGCUUAGGCUCAUUAUAAGAAUGAAUCAAAGCAAGAAAAGCACGAUGUCUAAGUGAAAAGGAAUCAUAAGAGACAAACCGAGGAGGGGUGGAGAUUUUAGAACUACGACGUACCUAGGAGAGCGAAGGUGACAAGGAGGAGGAGGAUGUAGUGAGACGUUCUCGUGAAGUUGGAGGUUCAUGACCAGCAGAUGGAGUCAGAAUGGAAUUGGCCCCUUCAAGUUCUUCCAAUGGCUCAGACUGCUCAAGAAAUGGCACAUCCGGCGACUAUGCAGACGGCUCGCCCUCCUGGCCGAGCGGACGCUGAUGACUGACGAAAGUUGCGACCCUCCUAGCCGCAGCAGGUGUUGUGGAUGCGGGACGAGUGCAGCCCGCCUGGCGGCACUGGAUGACGACGGGAACUGGAGCUGGCGGGCAAUGUGCCUGCGGCCGACCGCAGGUGGAUGGCCCUGCUGGAGCUGGACUGGUGCUGGCCGAGACUGUGAUGGAUGCAGGCAGGUUGUGUGCGGUGAUGAAGCGGGUGCGGGAAAAUGGCCUUCUUAUUCUCGAUCCUCUAACGGGUAAAUCUCAGAGAAGAUUCCGGCGGGCGAGUUUUAUCAAAGUGUCAUUAAGGUGACUGUCUCUAUCUCCUAGCAAACUUCCCUAAAUCUGGCGCUUGAGAAAGAGGAUGUGGUUCUUCCUCUUCUUCACCCAACGGCCGCACAGAAGCUCGAUCUUCCGGUGACAUGGUUCUUCUCCGGUGGACUUUUGCCUCUCCGAUCCCUAUGACAUUCGGGAGUAUUGCUCUGUGGUUUUGAGCGAUCGCCGGCGACGAAGAUCGCCAUCCGACUGACCAACAUCUUCCCUGUGCCUGCGACUCCACAGUAACCUAACACGUUACUGUUCCAUUGGCUAGCAGAUUCUUCACCUCCCGAAACCAUCUCGGCUUCAUUCCAUUUGAUCCUCCAGCAUCAUCUGCAUCUUCCAUAGCCUUUCCAUGAGCAUCCAUUGCGUUUCACCCCCUAGAUCAUGGCAUUUGGUGCCUGUUCUUUCCCUGCGCUUGAAGAAGGUGCCAUCGGCAGGACACUGGAGCACAGAGAUUUGCCUUCCGAUCACCCUUGCUGAGCGUGAUCUUGGGUGGCGACCGCAUCAGGGCCUCCUUCGGCAACCCUUGGCAGCGGGGUAUUGUUCUUUUCUCUUUCUAUGUCGUUAUGAUUAUUCUCACUUGAAUCCUCCAGCAGGCUCCCCUUUUCAUCACAAUUCUUCCUUCAAGGAUAUAUCAUUAAGAAUGACACAUCUACAUUUCUAUAUUCUCCCUUCUCUUUUUCUUACACAAAAUAUGGUUUUUGCUCAUGAAAUACUACAUGUCUCGAAAUUAUCAUUUUCUUUCCAAUUGGUUCAUAACAUUUUUGUAGCUUUUUUUAUCUUCUGCUAUACUCAAAAAAACAACAUUUUGCUGCUUUAGAUGACAAUUUGUCUCUCAAUUGUUUUGGUAUAAGUACAAAGGAUGUGCAACCAAAGACUUUUAACAUGUCAUAGUUUGGCUUCCACCCAUGCAACUUCUCAUAUGGAGAUAUUCUCUUCAACACUCCUGAUGGCAUUCGAUUUAUUUGAUAUACUGCCAUACACACAGCAUCUGCCCAAUGAACUUUUGGAACAUUAGUAUUAAAGAGAAGAGAUCUAAUGGCUUCAAUAUAUGUCUAUUCUUUCUUUCAGCGACUUCAUUUUGUUUAGGAGUGUAGGUACAAGAUUUCUGAUGUAAUAUACCUUUCAUUUGCAAAUUGCUUUCAAAUUGAUGGAUCAGCCUUGGAUGUUCAUCGCAGUCUUGUUCUAGUUGAAAAGAAAUUAAAGGAGUCAAAUAAGAGGUAAAGAGGGAGACAAACUGCCUUGCCUACCGCAGCCUCAACCCCAAAACAUAUAUAUAUCGCUUUGCUCAGUCCAGAUCAAAACACGUCUCGACAUUUCUUGACACUAAGUAUAGCACUUACCAGAGUUAUCUCUGACUAAAAACAGAAGAAGCAGCUCCUGUUUCUUGUUUCCUCAAACAGGGUUAGACAAGCGGGGAAGCCAAAGUGCUACCAAACAGGGUUAAAGAAGCCCUCUACAAGGGCCUUAACCCCAAGUAACGAAUUUGCUGAAGGUGACUCUUCCGUUUCCCUUCGGUAGCGUUUGACGCAUUGGAAAUGUACUAUUCAACCGGAAAAUUAAUUCAAAUUUUUAAAAAAAAUUCCUUCCCAUCAAACAUGGGGAGUAAAAAAUAGCCGUUGAACCCAUUUCCGACUAUUUUUUUCUGGAAACUUUUUUCCGCCUGAGAGUCGGAAAAAAAUUUCUUGAAAUAUUUUUCUACCCGUUGGGCUUCUCCGCGCGUCUCUCUCCUCGUCUUCCUCUUCUCAUCCUCCGCAGCUGCCUCACCCUGCUCAUCCUCCGCACCUGCCUUUCCCUGCUACUUCCUCAACCCCCACCGCAGCAUCAACACCACUGUCCUCCGCAGCUGCCUCACCCUCUCACUCUCUCACUGGAAACCCUCGCUCAAAACCCUUACGUCUUUUUUUCACCCAACUUGCCUUCGUGAAGCCUUUCCUCUUCUCUCCCUGCUGCUACCUCAGACCCUUCCGUCCCCUUCUCUCUCUGCUGCUACCUCAGACGCAUCCAUCCCCUUCUCUCCCUGCUGCUACCUCAGACGCAUCCGUCCCCAACACAGCGUUCUUCCUCCUGCACAGCCUUCUGACUAGUGGCUUGAUUUGGGCAUCUCCUCACCAGCGCAGUGUAUAACAGGGGUGAAAGGUAUGUCUCUCUCUCAAUCUCUUCCAUUGCCAUUUUCCCACCGUCCAUUGCAGCCUAUGUUUAUGCAUUCCUUUGUAGGUUUUGAAGUGUGAAUCUCCUGAUCAAUUGUUGAUGCAUCCUGGAAUCCUGUUACAAUUGAUAGGAGAACGAUAUUUUGGUUCUAAUUUUGAGAAACCCUUUCAUGACAGUUCAUGAUAUUUGUGUUCCUCGUUCCCCUAUUUACUGUUAGUUGUUUCCCUUUUUACUGUUAGUCGUUUCCCUUUUAUGCCUGCUUGUCUACACUCCCAAUUGGACCAGGCACCAAGUAUGAUAUAUCUUAACCCAUCCCAUAGCCAGGUUCCACUCAGGCCUUAGAAAUGUUACAGAGCGACAUUUGGUUGUUUUAGAUCAAUUCUCUCACACACACUCUCUAUCUCCCCUUGUUCCUGUCAUCCUAUUCUGGGUUUUUCGGUCCAAACGUGAGCUUCUAUGAAAUUUCAUUUUUCAAAUGGGGAGUUUUUAAGGGGAAAUGGUAUUCCUAAGGAAACCUUUCAGGAGCCCUCUCUGUGUCCCUCUGACGACCAUGAUGGUGGAGUCUCCAGCGACACUGACGAUAAGCUCCCCUAUUUCGAGGCAGUAACCGGCAACCAAAGAUGCAGGAUUCUGUGGAGUAUAUAAGUUUUUCAAGACUGAUUAAAAUCUUUACUGUAGAUCGUUCUUAAGUCCUCUGACAUUAUAGGGUGUUAGAGUCCAUCCUACUUGAAGAGCAGACAUCCCGAGAUGUGGAAUUGUAGGCCCAAAUUGUUGAGCUUGUCUGUGAUGCUAAUUUAACAUUUUCACCCAAAACUGACCCCAACUCUCUGUUUGACAGGUCUCAACACACCCCAUACCUUUCAUGGUUCACCUCUUAAGAAGGCUAUGAACCUGGAAAUUUAUAGUGUGAGAUAUAUAUAUAUGAGUUUCUCUGAAAAUUUUUAAUUUGGGUCUAUUUUCAGGUUCUUUCUCAUAUGUGUGUGUAUGUUUGUGUGAGUGAGAGAAGGAGAGAGUUAACGUAAGCAGCUAAGUCUGCUGCACGGUGAUAAGCAUGAGGCAUGUUUGGACCUUACCUGCUAUACUCCCCAAGUAGGUGAAUGUUUGUUCCAGUGACAUACUAAAAUAUGAAAAAGGAACAAGUUGUUGGCUCACCUCUUGCAGACAAUUAUUCCUGUUAUUGCAGUAACUUUAUGGCAGUAACUUAUUACGGUGCAGCAGACUUAGCUGAAAAUUCUCCGAAUGUUCAGAGAAGGAAGGAGACCCUUAUCAAUAUGUGUGUCGCAAGGGCGAGGAUGUUGCAGGAUCAAUUCAAUGU